CAGUCGCCACGGGAAUACAGAGGGUGCGAGCGUUAAUCGGAUUUACUGGGCGUAAAGCGUGCGUAGGCGGCUUCUUAAGUCGGAUGUGAAAUCCCCGGGCUCAACCUGGGAACUGCAUUUGUGACUGUAUAGCUAGAGUACGGCAGAGGGGGAUGGAAUUCCGCGUGUAGCAGUGAAAUGCGUAGAUAUGCGGAGGAACACCGAUGGCGAAGGCAAUCCCCUGGGCCUGUACUGACGCUCAUGCACGAAAGCGUGGGGAGCAAACAGGAUUAGAGACCCCCGUAGUCCCUGUCUCUUAUAC
rnacentral:rRNA from 1 species